rnacentral:rRNA from 1 species
CCUACGGGAGGCAGCAGUGGGGAAUAUUGGACAAUGGGGGCAACCCUGAUCCAGCCAUGCCGCGUGUGUGAAGAAGGCCCUCGGGUUGUAAAGCACUUUCAGUGAGGAAGAACGCCUGGUGGUUAAUACCCAUCAGGAAAGACAUCACUCACAGAAGAAGCACCGGCUAACUCCGUGCCAGCAGCCGCGGUAAUACGGAGGGUGCGAGCGUUAAUCGGAAUUACUGGGCGUAAAGCGCGCGUAGGUGGCUUGAUAAGCCGGUUGGUGAAAGCCCCGGGCUCAACCUGGGAACGGCAUCCGGAACUGUCAAGCUAGAGUGCAGGAGAGGAAGGUAGAAUUCCCGGUGUAGCGGUGAAAUGCGUAGAGAUCGGGAGGAAUACCAGUGGCGAAGGCGGCCUUCUGGACUGACACUGACACUGAGGUGCGAAAGCGUGGGUAGCAAACAGGAUUAGAUACCCUAGUAGUC